rnacentral:rRNA from 1 species
GACGUAGGGGGCAAGCGUUGUCCGGAAUCAUUGGGCGUAAAGAGCUCGUAGGCGGUUCGGCAAGUCACGUGUGAAAUCUCCACGCUUAACGUGGAGGCGCCACGUGAAACUGCCGUGACUCGAGUCCGGUAGGGGAGUGUGGAAUUCCCGGUGUAGCGGUGAAAUGCGCAGAUAUCGGGAGGAACACCAGUAGCGAAGGCGGCACUCUGGGCCGGUACUGACGCUGAGGAGCGAAAGCGUGGGGAGCGAACAGG